rnacentral:rRNA from 1 species
CAUGUAGGCGGUUGUGUAAGUGUGGAUUUAAAGACUAAGGCUUAACCUUAUGUAUGGUCUGCAAACUGCGCAACUAGAGUAUAGGAAGGGAAGCUGGAAUUCCGCGUGUAAGGGUAAUAUCUGUAGAUAUGCGGAAGAAUACCGGUGGCGAAGGCGAGCUUCUAGCCUAUAACUGACGCUAAAAUGCGAAAGUGUGGGGAGCGAACAGGAUUAGAUACCCUGGUAGUCC